rnacentral:rRNA from 1 species
AUUAGAUGAGCCUAUAUUAGAUUAGCUAGUUGGUGGAGUAAUAGCCUACCAAGGCAAUGAUCUAUAGCUGAUCUGAGAGGAUGAUCAGCCACACUGGAACUGAGAUACGGUCCAGACUCCUACGGGAGGCAGCAGUGGGGAAUAUUGGACAAUGGGCGAAAGCCUGAUCCAGCCAUGCCGCAUGAGUGAAGAAGGCCUUUGGGUUGUAAAGCUCUUUUAGUGAGGAAGAUAAUGACGGUACUCACAGAAGAAGUCCUGGCUAACUCCGUGCCAGCAGCCGCGGUAAUACGGAGAGGGCUAGCGUUAUUCGGAAUUAUUGGGCGUAAAGGGCGCGUAGGCUGAUUAAUAAGUUAAAAGUGAAAUCCCGAGGCUUAACCUUGGAAUUGCUUUUAAAACUAUUAAUCUAGAGAUUGAAAGAGGAUAGAGGAAUUCCUGAUGUAGAGGUAAAAUUCGUAAAUAUUAGGAGGAACACCAGUGGCGAAGGCGUCUAUCUGAUUCAAAUCUGACGCUGAAGCGCGAAGGCGUGGGGAGCAAACAGGAUUAGAUACCCUGGUAGUCCACGCUGUAAACGAUGAAUGUUAAAUAUGGGAAG